GACGAACCGUGCGAACGUUAUUCGGAAUCACUGGGCUUAAAGCGCGUGUAGGCGGGACGGCACGUCGGUCGCUGAAAGCCCCCGGCUCAACCGGGGAAGUGGCGCCGAUACGACCGACCUGGAGGGACGUAGGGGGACCUGGAACUUCCGGUGGAGCGGUGAAAUGCGUUGAGAUCGGAAGGAACGCCCGUGGCGAAAGCGAGGUCCUGGACGUUUACUGACGCUGAGACGCGAAAGCCAGGGGAGCGAACGGG
rnacentral:rRNA from 1 species